rnacentral:rRNA from 1 species
AUUGAACGCUGGCGGCAGGCCUAACACAUGCAAGUCGAGCGGAUGAGGAAAGCUUGCUUUUCGAUUCAGCGGCGGACGGGUGAGUAAUGCCUAGGAAUCUGCCUGUUAGUGGGGGAUAACUCGGGGAAACUCGGGCUAAUACCGCAUACGUCCUACGGGAGAAAGUGGGGGAUCUUCGGACCUCACGCUAACAGAUGAGCCUAGGUCGGAUUAGCCAGUAGGUGAGGUAAUGGCUCACCUAGGCGACGAUCCGUAACUGGUCUGAGAGGAUGAUCAGUCACACUGGAACUGAGACACGGUCCAGACUCCUACGGGAGGCAGCAGUGGGGAAUAUUGGACAAUGGGCGAAAGCCUGAUCCAGCCAUGCCGCGUGUGUGAAGAAGGUCUUCGGAUUGUAAAGCACUUUAAGUUGGGAGGAAGGGUAUUCACCUAAUACGUGGGUACUUUGACGUUACCAACAGAAUAAGCACCGGCUAACUCUGUGCCAGCAGCCGCAGUAAAAC